UUUGAUUCUGGCUCAGAAUCAACGCUGGCGGCGUGCCUAACACAUGCAAGUCGAACGGGAAAGGGGAGCAAUCCCUGAGUAUAGUGGCGACCGGGUGAGUAACACGUGACUACCUACCCUUGAGUGGGGGAUAACCUCGGGAAACCGAGGCUAAUACCGCAUAAUAUCGAAAGAUCAAAGGAGAAAUCCGCUUUUGGAGGGGGUCGCGGCUGAUUAGCUAGUUGGUAAGGUAAUGGCUCACCAAGGCGAAGAUCGGUAUCCGGCCUGAGAGGGCGCACGGACACACUGGAACUGAAACACGGUCCAGACUCCUACGGGAGGCAGCAGUGGGGAAUUUUGCGCAAUGGGGGAAACCCUGACGCAGCAACGCCGCGUGGAGGAUGAAGCUCCUUGGAGUGUAAACUCCUUUCGACCGGGAAAAUUAUGAUGGUACCGGUGGAAGAAGCACCGGCUAACUCUGUGCCAGCAGCCGCGGUAAUACAGAGGGUGCGAGCGUUGUUCGGAAUUAUUGGGCGUAAAGGGCGCGUAGGCGGUGUUGUAARUCACCUGUGAAACCUCUGGGCUUAACUCAGAGCCUGCAGGCGAAACUGCAAUGCUGGAGGGUGGGAGAGGUGCGUGGAAUUCCCGGUGUAGCGGUGAAAUGCGUAGAUAUCGGGAGGAACACCUGUGGCGAAAGCGGCGCACUGGACCACUACUGACGCUGAGGCGCGAAAGCUAGGGGAGCAAACAGGAUUAGAUACCCUGGGUAGUCCUAGCCCUAAACGAUGAUUGCUUGGUGUGAUCGGUACCCAAUCCGAUCGUGCCGCAGCUAACGCGAUAAGCAAUCCCACCUGGGGAGUACGGUCSCAAGGCUGAAACUCAAGGGAUUGACGGGGGACCGCACAAGCGGKGGA
rnacentral:rRNA from 1 species